rnacentral:rRNA from 1 species
UACGGGGGGGGGCAAGCGUUGUUCGGAAUUACUGGGCGUAAAGGGCGCGUAGGCGGCUUUUCAAGUCGAACGUGAAAUCCCCGGGCUCAACCCGGGAACUGCGUCCGAUACUGGUGGGCUCGAAUCCGGGAGAGGGAUGCGGAAUUCCUGGUGUAGCGGUGAAAUGCGCAGAUAUCAGGAGGAACACCGGUGGCGAAAGCGGCGCGCUGGACCUCUUCUGACGCGUGAGGCGCGGAAAGCCAGGGGAGCGAACGGG